rnacentral:rRNA from 1 species
GACGAACGCUGGCGGCGUGCUUAACACAUGCAAGUCGAACGGAAAGGCCCUGCUUUUGUGGGGUGCUCGAGUGGCGAACGGGUGAGUAACACGUGAGUAACCUGCCCUAGACUUUGGGAUAACUUCAGGAAACUGGGGCUAAUACCGGAUAGGAGCUCCUGCUGCGUGGUGGGGGUUGGAAAGUUGCGGCUGUUGGGGAUGGACGCGCGGCUUAUCAGCUUGUUGGUUGGGUAGUGGUUUACCAAGGCAUUGGCGGGUAGCCGGCCUGAGUGGGUGGCCGGCGUCAUUGGGCCUGAGGUAGGCACCAGACGCGUAUGGGAGGCAGCAGUGGGGAGUAUGGUACAAUGGGCGGGAGUCGGAGGCGGAGGCGUUGGGGGUGGGAUGCCGGCCUUCGGGUUGUAAACAGCUUUCGCUUGUGACGAAGCGGGAGUGACGGUAAUGAGUAAAGAAGCACCGGCUAACUACGUG